AUUGAACGCUGGCGGCAUGCCUUACACAUGCAAGUCGAACGGCAGCACGGGAGCAAUCCUGGUGGCGAGUGGCGAACGGGUGAGUAAUAUAUCGGAACGUGCCCAGUAGUGGGGGAGUAGCCCGGCGAAAGACCGGAUUAAUACCGCAUACGACCUACGGGUGGAAAGCGGGGAGUCGCAAGACCUCGCGCUAUUGGAGCGGCCGAUAUCAGAUUAGCUAGUUGGCGGGGUAAAAGGACCCACCAAGGCGACGAUCUGUAGCUGGUCUGAGAGGACGACCAGCCACACUGGGACUGAGACACGGCCCAGACUCCUACGGGAGGCAGCAGUGGGGAAGUUUU
rnacentral:rRNA from 1 species